AUACUUACCUGGCAGAGGAGAUACCAUGAUCACGAAGGUGGUUUUCCCAGGGCGAGGCUUACCCAUUGCACUUAGGGUUUGCUGACCUCUGCGAUUUCCCCAAAUGUGGGAAACUCGACUGCAAAAUUUGUGUUAGUGGGGGACUGCGUUCGCGCUUUCCCCUG
rnacentral:snRNA from 1 species